GGAAAGUUUUUUCGGUUGGGGAUGGGCUCGCGGCCUAUCAGUUUGUUGGUGAGGUAAUGGCUCACCAAGACGACGACGGGUAGCCGGCCUGAGAGGGCGACCGGCCACACUGGGACUGAGACACGGCCCAGACUCCUACGGGAGGCAGCAGUGGGGAAUAUUGCACAAUGGGGGAAACCCUGAUGCAGCGACGCAGCGUGCGGGAUGACGGCCUUCGGGUUGUAAACCGCUUUCAGCAGGGAAGAAGCCCUUCGGGGUGACGGUACCUGCAGAAGAAGUACCGGCUAACUACGUGCCAGCAGCCGCGGUAAUACGUAGGGUACAAGCGUUGUCCGGAAUUAUUGGGCGUAAAGAGCUCGUAGGUGGUUGGUCACGUCUGCUGUGGAAACGCAACGCUUAACGUUGCGCGUGCAGUGGGUACGGGCUGACUAGAGUGCAGUAGGGGAGUCUGGAAUUCCUGGUGUAGCGGUGAAAUGCGCAGAUAUCAGGAGGAACACCGGUGGCGAAGGCGGGACUCUGGGCUGUAACUGACACUGAGGAGCGAAAGCAUGGGGAGCGAACAGGAUUAGAUACCCUGGUAGUCCAUGCCGUAAACGUUGGGCACUAGGUGUGGGGGACAUUCCACGUUCUCCGCGCCGUAGCUAACGCAUUAAGUGCCCCGCCUGGGGAGUACGGUCGCAAGGCUAAAACUCAAAGGAAUUGACGGGGGCCCGCACAAGCGGCGGAGCAUGCGGAUUAAUUCGAUGCAACGCGAAGAACCUUACCAAGGCUUGACAUACACCAGACCGUUCUGGAAACAGUUCCUCCCCUUUGGGGUUGGUGUACAGGUGGUGCAUGGUUGUCGUCAGCUCGUGUCGUGAGAUGUUGGGUUAAGUCCCGCAACGAGCGCAACCCUCGUUCUAUGUUGCCAGCACGUAAUGGUGGGAACUCAUAGGAGACUGCCGGGGUCAACUCGGAGGAAGGUGGGGAUGACGUCAAAUCAUCAUGCCCUUUAUGUCUUGGGCUUCACGCAUGCUACAAUGGCUGGUACAGAGAGAUGCGAGACCGCGAGGUUUUAGCGAAUCCCUUAAAGCCAGUCUCAGUUCGGAUCGUAGUCUGCAAUUCGACUACGUGAAGUCGGAGUCGCUAGUAAUCGCAGAUCAG
rnacentral:rRNA from 1 species